rnacentral:rRNA from 1 species
UCUUGGACAAUGGGGGAAACCCUGAUCCAGCCAUGCCGCGUGAUCGAUGAAGGCCUUAGGGUUGUAAAGAUCUUUCAGCGAGGAAGAUAAUGACGGUACUCGCAGAAGAAGCCCCGGCUAACUCCGUGCCAGCAGCCGCGGUAAUACGGAGGGGGCUAGCGUUGUUCGGAAUUACUGGGCGUAAAGCGCACGUAGGCGGACCAGAAAGUAGGGGGUGAAAUCCCGGGGCUCAACCUCGGAACUGCCUUCUAAACUCCUGGUCUUGAGUUCGAGAGAGGUGAGUGGAAUUCCGAGUGUAGAGGUGAAAUUCGUAGAUAUUCGGAGGAACACCAGUGGCGAAGGCGGCUCACUGGCUCGAUACUGACGCUGAGGUGCGAAAGCGUGGGGAGCAAACA